GGGAACAGCUCUCUGUUCCUAUCAGCCUGAACUGCAUUUGCUCCAGCAGCUCGGCUCUGCGGGCUCAUCUGCUGGGCACUUUAGAUAACCCACAUGAUGGAUUUGGCACUUGGGAUGUAUAUUCUGGAGAUGCAGCAUGGAGCGGUGCAGGAAGUGCACAGAGGGAAAUAACAGCGAUAGAAGCUAAUGAUAAAGGGCCUGAUGCAGAAGUGACGAGGGGCUGUGGGCGGUGUGACUCAGGGUGUCCGCCACUAUAACCCCGCGAACCUGGACUCACAUGCCAACUCACACGCCAGGAGAGGCGGGGAGGUGAAUGGGUUGUGUGAGUUGGAGAGAAAGAAAAGAAACUUACAUUGCUCAGUGGAGAUCACUGAUCUGUGAGAAACGGAGGACAACAUCCUGCAGGUCAGGGGAAGCACAGCUGCGAUAACAACAGGUGAAGAUGGGCCGCGAUCUGCUGCACCUGGGAUUCCUCGUCACAGUUUUCCAGCAGCUAGGUCCGUAUGCCGUGCCCAUCACCGUGAUACCUGAUCAACUCACAACCUCCCUGGGAGGCAGCUUAAUAUUAGAGUUGGCUGACAUUUUGAAACAGAAUUUUGUUGCUGUUGUCCGAAAACAGCACUGUCACGUCCUUCUCUACCAGACCUGACCUGGUCACAGAGCUCACUUACCCACCCCAGCUGUGCUCAUCAGCAUAAGA